rnacentral:rRNA from 1 species
GACGAGCCCACACAAACGUUAUUCGGAAUCACUGGGCUUAAAGGGUGCGUAGGCUGCGCAGAAAGUUGGGUGUGAAAUCCGACAGCUUAACUGUCGAAGUGCACUCAAAACUUCUGUGCUCGAGGGAGAUAGAGGUGAGCGGAACUGAGGGUGGAGCGGUGAAAUGCGUUGAUAUCCUCAGGAACGCCGGUGGCGAAAGCGGCUCACUGGAUCUCUUCUGACGCUGAGGCACGAAAGCUAGGGGAGCAAGCGGGAUUAGAAACCCCAGUAGU